UUUCAUUCCCUGCUGGUUCAUUGUUUUAGUUGCAAAUUAUUUUUCACUCCAACCUACCACCACCUUCACUGUGAGCUCUCUCUUUCCCUCUCAUUCCCUCUCUCUCCAAAAAUGCUCCUCAUACCAGAGCACGCCAACCCCACACCCCCCAUCUCUACCUUCCAUCAAAUCCCCACCUCUCUUUCACGUUCCGCUUGCUCUCCACUGCCCUCCGAGGUCCGACCCAUCCCAAACUGGUCGACAUCAACGCCUAGGCUCGCCAGCUCCAAACCCGUCGCCUCUGGACCUACGACCUGACCUUCAGCUGCAUCGCCGAUUUGACGUCAUCAUCCUCAACAGCGUCGUCUAGCCGUCUUUCUCUCCACAGAUGGAGUUCGUCGUCACCGAUUUCAUAUCAUGACGUCAUAUAGGCCGGUCCCAAGGUCUGUCAAUUUUGUGCUGGUCUGGAGACCAGCUUAGACUGGAUGCCAGGCAAUCCCGUGGGCUGGAGUGGGUUGACAGGGUCCCAGCCUGGUUUUUUGACUGGGUGCUGGGCUAUUCCACCUCCGGUGGACUUGCUCUUAUAGUUAAGGGACUAUGUAGUCCAGUUGGAUUAAAGUUGAAAGUCUUGAAGUUGCAAACUUGCAGACGUCUCACAAUCACUAAUUUAGGACCUGAGAUUGAGACAGAAAAUGAAGAAAUACAGGUGAAAAAGAUGAAUUCGUGAUGUCUCAGUAAUGAGCCUUGAUGGUGAACCUGAGAUGAAUUUGAAGCAAAAUAAAGGUGAAAAAGAAUUGAGAAUUGAAGUAAAAAGAAAGAUGGUGGCGACGCUAAGACCUGAGAAAGAGUAUCAAACUUCGUAUUGGUGAACCAGCGAAGAGCGGAGGGCCAAUGGCAGAUCGACGAAAUUGUUAUUUAGGUGUGGGUGAACGGUGCAACUCUGUAACUAUGUCACUUUGGUCGUGAAGAAUACGAUGACGAAGAGAAGAUUUGGGCUUGGAAGACGAAGAGAAGACUAAAGGCGAAGAGUCGAAGACGCAGGGUGGCAGGGGCGCUGUAGCAAACUUUUUUUUUAGGAUAAUACUGAAGUGCUUCCUGAUUUGGCCCAAUAAUAUCACAUGUUCUGUUUUUUUUUUUUUUUUUUUUUUAAGUCUAAGAAAAAUUGAAUAACAUGUCUAUUAUUAUUUAAAACAAUAAAAUAUGUAUUAAUAUUGUAAGCAUAAUUUACUGAAUGAUUAUGGAGGCCAGAGAGAGAUGUGCAAUUGUGGGUGUAUUC